GCAGGGAGUUGGACUAGAUGACCUUCUAACCUUCUAACUGUAUGUUUCUACAUCAAGAUUCUUGAAAUGGGAAUUGGGAUAUGUUCAAACAAUAUAUCAUGUAGGGAAACUGUGCAAGCGCUUGAAAAUAGAAUUGAUGUAAAGUUUAAAGAUGAUGUGAGAAUGGCUAUUGAAAUGCAGCCAUACCUCAGGUUGAAGUAGCUUCGGGAUAAGUAUUUUCAGGUUGCGUGCUGUGGCAACCUGGACGUAAUGGAGCACAUUACUUCUGGGUUUUGCCACUUGUGCAUGCGCAGACGGUCAAAAUGUCACGUGCAUGCACGGAAGCAGUGAAUCACGACCUGCGCAUGCGCAGACGCGUGGACAUGGGUUGCGUUCGCUUCUGGAUGCGAACAGGGCUCUGGAACGGAUCCCGUUUGCAUCCAGAGGUACCACUGUAAAUACUACUUGUGGUUUAAUCUUAACACCACCUGAGAGUAUGCCCCAUUGAAUUCAAUAGGACUUAGUUCUCCAUAGACAUACUUACUAACAGUACAAUCCCAACCAUCCAGCUAAGCAACUGGUGUAGUGGUAUAUCUUAAUGAGAAGGAAGAUGACUGAAAAGAAAGUCAUUGCUAAUUUUACCAUUCUUCAUCCAUUAAUGAGAAAAGAAAAUGCAUUAGGAAAUUAACAAAAUGUAGAGGAAAUUUCAGUGACAUUCUCGUGGAGUGUGUGCGGAGUGUUUAUGUGCGGACUUUAAUGUUUAUGUUGGCAAGGUUUCUGUGUCCUUCCUUCCUUCCAUUCUAUAAGUUGCCUUUUCAGUGGUCCACACUUCCUGACAAUCUCAUGAUGCCCUCCCCCAGUUUGCUUUCCUGUAGGUGCAAGAAGCCAGGGAACGUACGUGCGGUGUGCCUGACAGCUGUUCAUUGUUAGAUUUUACAAUAAAGUCCUUUUAUUUUUUAAGACAUUUAAGAGGAAAAGGAAGGGCUUUGCUUUUUCAAAAGGUCACUGAGCACAGUAUUCUCAAGUGCUGAGUAGGCAGCUUCACUGACUUCGCACACUUCAAUUAAAGCAAACUAGAAGAUGUUGUGAGGUAACUCCUCCCACAGAGGUUUUUCAGAUCAGGCAGCCCUGCAGAGCACUGGAGAAAUAUUUCAUAAAAAGGAAGAAAACACAUCACCCUUGGUCACCCUGCAACACCCAGCCAACCUCAACCACGUACAUUUUAUAAAUUCUAAAAUGCCCUGUGAAUGAAGUAGAAAAACAGGAGCCUCUUUUGCAGAGGAAGAACAUUUUCAAGAAAUUAGUUGGCAGGUUUUGGCACGGCACUAGAAGAUAUAAAUCACUGAAUAGCAUUACGGUCCUGAUAUGAUACCUGCUGAAGGAAUUAUUCACCAAAUGAGCCCUCUUGUGCCAAAAGGUAUUUGGCAAUUGCCAUAUUCACCUAGCCAGAAUUAUGAAAUAUGCUUCUAAUCAACAGACCAAGCCAGCCUAUUGUUUCCUCCUUCGGGCAGUCAUUAUAUAUGGCGAGGAAAGAAAUCAGAAUGCUUCCUAAUGCUUGUCCCCUUGAUUAAUCUUUAAUUAACCGUUGAUUACUCCUUAAUAUAUUUUAAUUUAUAUUCCUUGAUUCCUUCUUUCAUUUUCCUGGAAAGGCAAAACCACUACUGAGAAAAACUUUGGCUUUCAUCUCCCUCUCUUUUUCAUCAUGUAGAUGCCCUUUGGUUAAAACAGUUUUUCAAAAGACAUGCAUUCUAUACAGAUAUAAGAGUUUUCCCCUAGGUGGUAUACUUUCAUCACUCACAAAAACUCAAAAUGAGUGGGCUAGAUCCUGUACUACCAGCCUAGGUCCAGUCCCCCAACCUCUUAUUUUUGACUUCAGUAUCACCCCAGUUUUAGCAAUGGUGGCAUCUAUGGUACCACCACCACAACAACAAAAAUACAGAAGUUGAAACUGAGCGUACUCGAGGCCUGUGUUCUUGGGAGUGGUUCCAAGAUGGAUGCGAGGUUAAAAGUUGUGUAAGAGAGACCAAGAGAUAAAACCAGCUCUUGUUAAUCUUGCUGAUGUAGCCUGCAUUUAUUAUGCAAGUCACAUGUCACUGUCUGGCACAGUUCCAAGGGCAAAUGACCCCAUUCUUCCAGAACUCCCACCCUGAACUGAGCAGAUCCGCAAAAGAAAGGAGUGCUCUGAUCUGCUCCGAUGUUACUGGACACUCAGGAAACAUCAUAACAGAUUGGAUUGCUCCUUCCUGUUUCUGAUAUGCUGUGAUCAGAAGGGGACUUUCUCCGCUUGUCAGUUCAGUCAUCUGAGGAGCAGGAAUGGCUGAAUCACCCUGCUCUCAGUUGAUCUGCAUGGAUCAGAUGCGGGGUGGAGGCUGUGUGGGUGUGACAGUGUGUGCGUCAUGUUGUGUUCUGUAUAUUUGCACCUGUGACCUGUGUGUGUUAUUGUUCAUACAAUAAUAAAUGUAUGUGUGGUGCAUGCAUGCACAAGUGUUUGUGUGUUUGUUUGUUUGUGUGUGUGUGUGUGUGUGUGUGUGUGUGUGUGUGAGAGAGAGAGAGAGAGAGAGAGAGAGGUGGCCACAAGCACUAUGGGCCUCAACUACUAGUCACUGGCAUGCAGUCCCAAGAAAAAUGUCCAAGGAUGAAUGAGGCCUUGGGCCAAAAGGUGAGCCAUUCCUGCUGUAAAGGGUAACACAGAUCAAUAAAGCUCUUCUAUAGCCACAGGCAUAUUUCUCUAGCAGUAUAUGUAUAUCUUGCUUUGAUGGGUGUACAUGUUUGGAGAGAGAUAAAUGUAAAUUAAAUGGGAAGUGUGAAGGCAAAACUAAAGUACUGGCCACCUCUCUCAUUUAUAUGGACUCGUUUGAUGAUUAUGGAUAAUCUUUUUACAAACCUUUUUCAGAAUAAGCCCCUAAAUAUUGGGGUGGGUUAUGUGUGUGUGUGUGACUUUUAUUUAUUGGUUCUCAAAAAGCAAAUGCAGUACUUCUUAGCUAUUAUUUCAAUUAUUUUUUUUAAAGGGUCAGGUAUUGAGCCAUGUGAAAUAAGGCAACACUAUAAUGCUUACUCGAAAUUGGCAAAAUAUUGCCGUUCAAAUUGUAAACAAUCACAAGAAUAAUCAUGCACCAGGCCACUAUACAAUAAAAUAUAGAACUCUGUAGUCUGAUGACAGGAUGAUGAACAGCUAGCCAUAUACAAGAGCUAUAUACUCAGAAAGCCAAGUCACUUGAAUUUAAGUUGAGGCAGUAGUCAUUUGAGCAUAAGUACUGAGCAGGCAUUUCCAAAACCUCUCCUUAUUCUCAAAUGCAUGCAGAACAGAACCCAUACAGGGGGAGGGGGAGAGAAAUAAGGUAAUGUUUACUGGAUGACAUUCUUAUAAAGACUCCACCUCCCUUUUAAAUGAUCUUUAAACUUACAGGUCCUUGGACAUGCGAGUGAAACACUCAGUCAUGAUCAAUAUAAAUGGAUCAUAAGCACUAUUGGAUCCUCUAGCAGCAAACUCUCUGAGUGGCAGAGUAAAUGGACCCCCAAAUGCUACCAUUAUUCUCAAAUGCAUCCUUAGGACCACAGCCUCUUCCUCAACAUUUGCCAUCUGGUUCACAUUUUAAGAGCAUACAAUGCACAGAGCCCUGAUCCAGCACUGCUCAUAUGCAGCCCUAAUUAGAAGGGCACUAAUCAGGAUAGGACGAUUCUGGGGUUGCGGCGCUCAUCUCGCUUUAUUGGCCGAGGGAGCCGGCAUACAGCUUCUGGGUCGUCCGCGACUGGACCUAAUGGUCAGGGGUCCCUUUACCUUUAAUCAGGAUAGGCUUGAGCGCAAACUACAAAAACUACUCAUAGUAUUUGCUGGCAUAUACCAGGGACUUCAGGGCUUGAACAAGUAAUCACAUGCCUUCAGACUGGCAUCUCAAGCUGUCAGAGGCACAUAUCUCAGUGGCAGAGGACAUGUUUUGCAUGCCAAAGGCUCCUGCCUGAAACCUUAGAGAGAGGCUGCCUGUCAGUGAGUAGAAAAUACAAAACUAGGAGGAACAAUGGUCUGAUUCAUUAUAAGGCAACUUCUUUCGUUCCUGUUUAAGCAGCAGUGCCUUUUAGAGAAGCUUGAUGUGCAGACAUUAGCAGAUACUAAAGUUUAUCACUACACCGUGAAAAGCUUCACCUGCUGAUUUCUGCAGCUUAAAAAGCUGUUAAAAGAACAACAGCAGGGCAAGGCAGUUUCUUUUUGGUGACUUGGCAACUCUACUAAUAUGCAUGUUAAUGAACAAAAUGGCACCCUGUGGGCUGAAGGCUCACAACCAUCUUCAGUUGGGAAAUGUAUGACAUUUCGGGAUAGGCCAGGCCUGCUAUAGGAUCCUGCCAUCUGACCUUGCUGGGUCUGCCUCUUACACAUGAGCCUCCAGUCCAUGAUGUCAAACCACUUGGCUCGAGAAUACACUUGUCAGGUCCAUACUCAGCAAGGCCUUGGGAACCCAGUCAAGCUAACUCUUAAACAUCUCUUGGCCAUCUGCAAGCAAUACUGGCAGUCCAACCUAUACACAUGAGUCCCAAUACAAGGGGGCCAAGAUGGGGACAAAGGGAAAAAACUUUGGGCCUACAGAGUUGAGAGUAUUAGUUCAGCCAUCUGAUGCAGAUGAAUAAACCAUUGUAAUAUGCACUCACUUAUUCAGCAGAAUGUACCCAACAAAUCUGGACUAUGCAGUAAUGUGUAAAGAGCUUCAAAUUUUAAAGAGUCAAGAAGACUGUGUAACAAUAGAAAAUAUAUAUACAUUGCCUUGAACUAAAUGUAUUUCUGUAAAUAUGCAUUACUCUAUGAAUGUUUAGCUUGGUUACAUCAGGUAGGCAUCCCUUGAACAAACAGAAACUGGUACAGCUGAGGCAGAGAAGCCAUUUUCUAGUGAGAAUUCAUGGGAUGCAUGAAUUAGGGUGGAGCUAACAGUGUGCAGCCAGAACCAGAGCCAAAACUGAUAGAGCCCAUGCCCUCUUGUAGUUACCAGGACAUGUCCCAGCUCCAAACCCCAGCAUGACCUCAUGCUUCAUCUUUGAAAUUCAGCACGAGGUCAGGGAUCAAAUGAAGCAUCUCUGCCAUCUCCUACCAACCACAGCUACAAAGGGCAGCAAAGGCAGGCCAGCUUUCUUUGUCUAUGCAUGUCCCCCAGGGAAGUAUUGUGAAAGGUCUGCCAAAGGACAAGUAAGCCUUAAGCACUUUAUUAUGCUCUCAGCAGAAAGUAUGCUUGCUGGCAAACAUCUUUUAACAAAUUAAAUGAUAGGUUCCCCAAAUACAAACAAGGAAGAAGUCGCUCAAGCAGGGCUACCUGUUUAAGUAUUAGAUUAUUAAUUAAUUAUAGUAAUAAGGAACAAUUUGGUUGAAUUGCGCAAAUGCCUGAUAAUUUCUGGUCUUAAUUUUAGAGAUUAUAAAUCACAUUUAUAGAUACUGUGGAGAUUUGUAAUUACCAGAGAUUGUAAUAUAUUUAUUCUGCAUUCAGCAAAAUAGGUUAGAUGGAAAAGAUUAAUUGAUUAAUAAACAUGAAUGCUGAUUCACCAGAUAGGCAAAUGGCUUGUCUAUUUAGUGAAUUAGUAUUCAUGGUUAUUAGUCAAUGUAUCUUCAUUAAAUACUCUGUACCAAAGUACACAUCUGUUUUGUCAUAUUCCAUGUACUUAAAUGCACUAUGUUCCCUACUGACAAAAUAGGGGUGGGUGUGCAGGAGGGGAACCCUAAAACCUUUUAUGCCCCAGGUUAUGACUCUGCAGCCCUCUCCUAAUGGAGCUUCCUCCCAGCUAAACAUGUACAGGAUAGCAGCCUUACAGUAAGAUGUCCCCGUUUUCUGGGGACAGGCCCCAGAUUUACAAACCAGUCCCUUGACAAAAUCCAUCUAUUUAGUAGGAAAUUGAAAAGUGUCCCCAGAUGCAUUGAAAAAAAUCUGGUAACCUUACCUUACAGCACAUUUCUAGCCAUGUUUACUUGGAUGCCCCACUGUAUUCGAUGUGUUUACUCCUAGGUGAGUACCAUCAAGAAAUCCUGGAGAGUCACUGGCAGUGUUAGAAACUGAGAUAUGAAAGCUAGGAGCUAAAUGGCACAUUAAACCUGAGUUAUGGGCACCGCAAUGGAGUUUCUAGGUGUGCUUUCUUUAUAACAAGGAUACAAAGCUGAAAAUGAAUGAACUGCAGCUAAAAUCUUAUGUUCACUUUUCACAUGGUCUAGUCCUCAUCUGAAGACUGCAAAAAACAAAGCCAUACCCCCCCUGCCCUCCCCUCUAAUAUUCUUAUGAGGGUCCCUUCUCCAGUCUUCAGAGAGUGGCUGGAAGUAGGGAGGCAGAAAAAGGUCCUUUCCUUCCAGCAGUGGCAGUUUUAAUCUGAAACCUUAGGCUCAGUACUGCACCCAGAGCUCAGAAACUGCUCACAUUAAUGAAAUUCUCUGUCGCAAAACGCACCUAGAACAAUGGGAGUUUCAAACGCUGGUCACUGCCAGUCAUUAUAGACAAUACUAAGCUAGAUAUACCAGUGACCUGACCCAACUUCCUAUGCUCCUACAUUCUAAUCCCUUGGAGGUAGCUGAAAGUUGUCAUAUUUCUCCUGCAUCUUAAUUCCCAGGAUAAAGAAAUCCAGUUUCUUCAUCUUACCUCUCACAGAAAUCUACUUUUUUGGUUCUGUUAUCAUUUUCGGUAGCUGCCCUUUGAAUCUGCUCCAGCCACAUCAUAAUGAAGCUUGUGAUUACCUUUUAAUGUGUCUGGAUCUCCUCCAGGACAUAAAACACAUUUCAAAUUAAGAUUCCUAUAUGAAGUGAGCUCAGCACAAAUAUGAGGUCUCGAUGAAACAUGAGAGCGCCUCCAUUUUCAUUCAAUUACACAGAAUGUAAAAAUGUCAUCACCGUGGGAUUCCUAUUCAUAGGGUUAAUGGUGGCAUAAAUCAUCAGCUGGAAGCUGGUAGGAGAACAGGGAAGAGAAUCAAAGGGGAAGAGGGAAAUCCUAUAGCAACAGCAGGCAGGAGUACAAGGAGGCAGCCUACGAGUUUGGUGUUGGUUUGGAUCUGAUUUUUGGGAUGCAAAUGGUCUUUCUAAAUUACAUCCCUUCUUGUGCCAAGAUUACCUUGGCACCAGUGCACCUUGAGCCUGAUAAUAAUGAAAGCCAGUCCUUGUCUGGCCCUGCUCUCCCUGGGUCUUUCAAAUAACAACAAAUCAGAGUUAACUAGAGCAUGCUGGUGAUAGAUUAGUUGCUAAACUAAAUGGUCUAGGGACCCCCAAAAUAAGGUCCAGACGCAGACUCAGUAUAAUUAAAGCACCGUAGACAGCCAAGGCAACUCACAUACCAUAUUGGAUGCUAUUUGUUUUGAUACCAGUUAGAAUGGUGACACAGAAUCAGCUUCGCCGGCGCUAUUAAUUUUCUGGUUCCAGAGGGUCAGAUGUGUAAUCGUGGAUAAUACAACACUCUGCACUUGCAGAUGUCACUACUCCAGCAGAAUGGGUUUUUUGUAAUGAACUGCUCUCCUUUUCCACCAGGAGAUGUUGGAGAGAGUCUUUCAAUGUCUUUCCCCCAAAGCCAUUACAUUGAAGAGAGAAUUUCAACAAGAGAGGAAAGGAGAAACAAAUUCACAGAUGAGUAGCUGAGUAAACAAAGCAUUAGUAAAUCUAACCAUUUUCAAAGACAUGGCUGUGCCUCCUGUUGUGGGAAAAGUAUAAGCAAUAACAUUUCCUUGUAAUGAAUUUAAUUCAUGGACCCGCUAGAGUGAGAAGUCUACAGAUAAAGGGUGGAUCCUGACAAUAUAUAUCUGCCUGCUAGGGCUUGCUGCGGCCUGGCACCAGCCCCUUGCAUAGCAAGCACAAACCAUAACUUGCAGCUUCAGAUGUAAUGGCAAACUAUGGUUUGUUUGAACUUUGAAAUUAGAGAAGGACUCAGAAUAUGGGGGUGGGGAUGGAAAGCGCAAGCCUGAAACUCAGACCCAACAGUGAAACUCUGGCAUGACUAGCCCACGGACAUUACAUGACAACAUGCCACUGACUUGCAAUUCAGAAGAAAGUAUCUCUUGUUUACGCUUACCUCUGAGAGAAGUUAAACUAAGCUGCUUUUGUUAACACCUCAAAGUCAAGACCAGGUAUGGUCACUCUGGGCAGCAUCAGAACUAUGUCAUCAUUCUUCCAUCACUUACGUGUCAUAAUGCUGCACUGCUGCUGCCUACGUUCUCUAAGCACAAGGUAGAACAUCUUAGCUUUGUCCAGUAUUUAUCAAAUUGUUCUGAACUCCUUUAACUUGCUCUUUGUUGACAGUCUCACCUGUUGUGCAUCUCCUUCAGCCUAAAUGCUUUCCUCCCAUUCUGACCUUAGGAGUUUACCCUGGUUUCAGCUCAAUUUUACCUACACCAACUCUCCAUAUUUCUGAGCAAAAAGGUAUUGAUGAUUACUAUUAAUUUAACCAUUAUUACCAGGCUAAGGGUGUUAUAUUAAGCAUCAGUGGAACUCAUGAAAUGAAUAACUAUGUCUCUCAACAGACAGUUUUUGUGGCAAGUGACACUGGGCAUAACUUGUUGGUGCUUUUUUUCUACUCCGCUUCUUCUUACAACUGGGUGAAUUUCUUUCUUUCUUUCUGUUUAGCCAAAUAUUUUUAGAGAAUUAAUUUGAUUCAGUGUUGGUAAUUUGUUCCGGCUUUCACGAUUUUAUAAUUUUAUGAUGUUUUAAGGAUUUUACUGUACACUGCCAUAAAAAGCAACCCUGAAAUGAAAUCCUCUUAUAAAUAAAUAAACCCUGGCUGUUUGGCUGCUGUGAGGCAUGGGGCUGCCACAGGGAAGGAGGUUCUCUGGUUGUGAAUACUGGGGUCCUCCAACUCCUGAGCUGCUUGUUACACACACACACACACACACACACUGUGUGUGUGUGUGUGUGUGUGUGUGUGUGUGUAUCAGGGGUGCCAACUUGAAUAAAAUACUGUGGGGCCCACGUAAGCCCUGCCACGCAUAAUCGAUCACAUGAUGCAGUACACACAUACCAUUUCAGUGGGAAUGCCUAUCAACUUUGUGGGGGCCCAGCCCCCGCAAAUAUUUUAUUGUGGGGGCCAAAGCCCCCACAGCCCCUAAGAGCUGGCUCCUAUGAUAUAUAUCCAGUACUUUUUUCCUUAAAAAAUGUUUGGGGUACUCUCAUUUUCCUACUCACAUUGAAAUACUGCCCCUCAAUGAGGCUAAACUUAGAUUCACAAAAUGUUUAGGGGUAUGCGUACCCCUGUCUACCCCCAGAAAAAGCCCUGUAUAAAUCAACCAUCAUCCAAACAAAAACCAAAUAAAUAAGGGCACCCAAGACUGCCUUGAUGUAAGAUCUAAAUAGCAGCCAAGCAGCUUACUCUCAUAUUUAAAAGAAAGGAGGAUUUAAACCUCGAAAUAAGUGCCUGCUUCCCAAACUUAUCAGUGCAGCUCCUUCUUCAUGUAAAUUGGGUAGGCGACAGAUAGUGUUAUCCCUAAUCCAGUCAGCCUUCUGCCAGCAGAGCCAUAUUUGAUGUAUUAGAUUAGCUAUAAAAGCAGCAGCUGCUCAUUCUGAUUUGUGGCAAGGGAAACUGAAGAGCUUUUGGCAUAGACAGGAGAAGGCCCUUAAAUAAAGCUCUUGUGGAGGUGAAUUUAGGAAAGGGCUCACAUCUGUUCUUACUUUGUGCGAAUUUGUCCAUGCUGUUUCACCAGAAAUUGCCAGAGCAACAAGGUGAUGUUUUCAAGUAGCUGAGUGUAGACAGAAAGAUUAAUCGAAGAGGCUUUAUCUUUAGGAGUACUCAGUGGGGGCUUUGUUCGGCUCACAGAGAAUGCAGGGGCGCUCAUUACCAUUUCAUCGUCUCUUCUCAUUGCCUAUAGUCUUUGGUCCAUACUUUAAUCACUAUAAUUAUCUAUUUUAUCAUCCUGUGUACCAGUUUCUGUUGUUGGGCAAUUAGCACAGAAGCGUAUCCUCCAUACACAGAUCUCUCCCCUCAGCCUCCUCUACAGUAGCCUCUCGGCAAAUAGGAAGUGCUGGUGGUGGUGUCCUCCCACCACUAGGGAGAAAAUGGCGGGAGCUGCCCUCUGGGGCCUCCUGGGCUCUGAACCUGCCCAAUGUGAUUCCCCACCCCACAGCAGCCUUUGAUUCCUCACCUUGUUCCCAAUGUAGAUUUUUCACGCACCCCUUGUUCCUGAUACAGAUCUUUAUUUCCCUCUUGUUCCCCACCCCAUCUUUCUAGGCCAGGGGAGGACACCAUUUUGUGGUUCACCUUAGGUGCCAAAAUGUCUUGGGCUGGCCUUGGGGUGCGCACUGGAGCAAAGAUCACUGUAGCUAUUACAGAAUAUCUGAUUCAGAGGAAGGAACAGAUGUCUCUCUCCCUGCCCCCCUUACAAAUGGACAGAAUUCUCCUAGUGAAUACCAUCCUCUAUUGCAGUUGGUGGCAAAGUCCGGGGGGGGGGAAGAGUUACUAGGCAGAGUCUGGGAUUGGACUUUUCCUGUUGAAUGUGCAUAUGGUAUUCCCUACUAGCCUUGUCUCUGUUCAGCCUGCCCAUGUAACCAAAGGAGUGAAAGCACAAGAAGCCAAUUGCCAUCAAUGGUCAUUGCAAAUUGUGUGCAAUUUUCACUAUACAAUCUUAAUAUCAUUGCUUAUAGCAAUUAUCUGAUUCAUCGUUUACAUCCACAUUAACUGAAAGAUUCACUAACUAUACAGUACAGAAAAUGCACUGUGCUCACAGUACUGCCCUGGAAAGCAUGGAAAUCGUACAUGUUGCCAUAAUACAUAAGAAUACAUAUCAGAUAUCUUAGCAAGAAUCACCAUGGCUUGGAGCAAUGCACCAAGCACGGCAAUGACCCUUCCUUAUUUCAUUAAGUUUGCCAUUUUGUAUUAUUCAAUCUAUUAUGUUCAUUACGUAUAUGCAGUGCACAUCUAAUGAGUCCAGUCCAUUUUCUCUCAAAAUGAAAAAUUAUAUUGACUCCCCUACAAUCAAUGACCCCAUUGCGCCUUGGAGCAUAUUGAAACCAAAUUGGAUCCUUAGCACAAAGACUAAGUGUUGAUGCUGAAGUAUAAGGAGAGGGAACACAGAGGCUGUUUUGUGGGUGGGGGGAAAAGUCAUACUAUUAAUAUUCAAUAACUUGGGAUUAGAGCCAGUGAAAUUGAUUAACAGCUUUUAAAAAUGGAGCAGCAAGCACAGCUGGUGCUAAGAUAUUACAGUGUUUGGCAUCGUAUAAAUGGCGAGUCAGAUAUUCAAGGAUCUUUUAAGAUCUUGGAAAGGGUAAGUAUGCCAACAGAUAACACCACGUGUGUUUUAAAAUUAUAGUAGGUAUUCUCAUAGCAACUGAAGUCAAUUAACCUCUGUUCUUUUCCCCUGCACUUUAAAUUUAAAAGAAAUGAAUGGGUAUUUUUUGUUCUCCUUUUACAAUAAUUGAAAAACCCUAUCCUGCCGAGAUAUAUAGUACAUAUGCAAUGAGUUUUAGCUCAAUGAAAAUUUUUAUAGCCAAGCUUUAGAGUCCUGAAAAUAUGAGUUUACUGGGGAAAUGCUGACACAACUGUUAAGUGUAAUGGAGUGAGCCAUGCUGCCAUAAUUUCUGAUACAAUCUUAUUGAUAUGGGUAGUAGGGAGACUAAAGACACUGCCAAUCAUUUUAUAGGGGUGUGUGUGUAAAAUUACUGUGAUAUUUGGGAGAUUAAAUCCUCAGGUGCUUCUUUUUUUUCUGUAUUAAGCAUUAAAGGCUAAAAAAUUCUCUCUCUCUCUCUCUCUCUCUCUGUGUGUGUGUGUGUGUGUGUGUGUGUGUACACACAUACAUCUCUCCCCCCCCCCAUGUUGUGGUGUCAUCCUGACAAUGACAAAAAAGCAAUACAUUUUGUGCUACAAGCAAGGAGGAGCAAGUGAUAAAAUCUUCCUUGGAUAAUAUUUAUUUCAAAGAUGCCCUGAGCACAUGCUGGGAUUAAAUUGGAAGUGAAUUGAUUAGAAUAUAAAUAUGGCUUCAAAACUGUGCGCUAAUAUUCAGUUUUAUAUUCAUGGAAAUAUAAGAGUUGGUGAGGAAAAAACCCAUCUCAAAAUUAUCCAGAAAGUUUCCACAGUGCAGGAUUAUAUAUAUAUAUAUACACAUACACACACACACACACACACACACACACACAUAUAUAUAUAUAUAUAUAUAUAUAAUGUGUGUGUGUGCGCGCGCACGCAGCAGGGUAUCAACUAGCCCUGGGCAAUCUUGACAGGCAGCUGCCGAACUAGCCUUGAUCUUGAAACUUGGCUAUCACUCUUCCUUUCUUGAGGCAAAAUCAGAAAAUUGCCUCAGAUCUUCAAACUGCACAGAACUAAUGACGAAUCCACCAAAUCUGAGUCCAUAUGCCAUCUACAUCUAAGUUUUAAAAUGACAAGAGUAGCUGUACUCUGUCACUCAUUUCUCUGGUCCAGGGAAAUUUGACACUUUCUACCAUCCUACAUACUUCAAUCAUCUUUAAACUAUUUGCAUCUGAACAGAGAUUAUUGUUUAUAAUAGAGCUGCUAACCUGUGACCCAUGGCAGGCCCUAAAAGGGGGUUUUUUGUGGAUGGGUGUCUCCCAAUAUCCCAUUCAAAAUUUGUCAUUAAAAAAUAAUAAUAUUGUAAUUAUUGACUGCCCUUGUGGAUUCUCCACUGUGAUGUCAUGAUGGCAAACGCUUUUUGCCCCCCUUUCCCUUAUCCCUUAUAAAGCACAUUCAGCUCUAAUUCCUUUCCUUUCAUUUCCUUGCUUACCAUAAACUAUGCUUGAAUACUUAUAUUACCAGAGUAGCUGUUUAUAAACCAAGAAGCUGGCAUGGCUAGCUGUCUGAACAACUGUCUGUGCUUGGAUCCACCAUUACACAGAGGGUGCAUGGAACUCUGGCUGCAUUUUCUCCAGUCACAAGGUCAACACCCAAGAAGAUGGACCUGGAGCUGAGAGAGGGAGGCUGUCUAUCUAGUCCUCUCUUUCUGGUCCAGGCCACACCCCUCACCAGCUUUACUUUACAUCCUUCUUGAGUGUUUUCCCCUGGUGGGAAUGUCUCCUUGAACUCUGAUCACGAGCUGCUGGGAAUUGUAGCUCUGUGAGGGUUAAACGACAGUUCCCCACUACAAUUUUGUAUCUCAACUAACAAAACAAUGUUUCGGGUGAGAGUGUUGCCAUUAUUCCUCUUUCUAGCAUUUGCAGAAAAUCCGACCGCCUCCUUUUUGCCCCCAACUGCACUUUCUGUGAACCUCAUAAUGUUUUUUUCUCCUUUCUCAUAUGAAAACUACCUUCAAAAGACUGGAGAAGUCACAGUCAACAGAGCGCCUGAAAUGCUGACUGAUUUCAAGCUACUAUUUAAAUGAAAUUAAUUCAUGGAGGGGAAACUUGAGGAAUAUGUGCUCAGAAUUUAAAGGUAAGCCUUUGUUUUCAUACCCUUUCUGUCACUACGCACAUGCAGAAACACAUUUCCAGAUACAAUUCUGUGACCAUUUCUGAACUACAUCCAAUUGCUUCCUGAAGCCUGAGAGUUAGCCCAGGUACCUGUACAUGAAAAGUAUUUUAAAUCUCCACUCAAAGAGUUAUACAAUUGCUUGCCCCAAGGAGAGAUGGCAAAGACUUGCAUUUGAGCAACAUUCUUCACAGAAUACCAGGCUUGUCAGAGGAUUACAGUGUAGCUGAUGCUUUAAAUUUCAGAUGCUCCCUUGGUAUUCGCCUUCACAACAGUCUGAAUUUUCCAGAAGCUUGCUGACAUAAUUUUGCACGUUAUUUGAAUGAGAGCUCUCCCGGGAGACUCACAAUGAAGAAAGAAACUUUCUCUGCUUCUCAUAAAUCCUCAUUUUUGCCUUAUUCCACUUGUGAUUUGUUUUUGUUUUGUUUUGCUUUUUUAAAACAAAAAACUGUAAAUAGCCCAAUUUACACAUUAUAGUCAGGAAUGAGAACAACACAUUUAGCAAGAAUUGAACCUGAAGAGAAGUAAUUAGUGCUGUGAUCAAAAAUUUCUUCUGCUCCCCCACUCAGGCCGACUAUUUCCCAUCAAUUAAGAAGAAAAGAAAUUGCAUCAGAAAACGAGCAAAGGGGAAAUGAUUUAUUUUUUAUGCAAAAUUCUCCUGGGUGGGUGGUGGUGAGGUUUUGUGCUUACCUUACUUUUGAGGUGACUGGAGGAUUUUGUCCUUCCUUUCGUUCUACAAAUCACCUCCCCAGUGGGUUGCAUUCUGCAGCCUCCCUGCAUGCCCAUGGUUCUUGAAAACUCCAUGGUAUCCUUUGCUGCCCUUGCUUGUAAGCGUAGGAAUGCAGGGACACGGCAGACUCUGCACCUGACAGCUCCUCGUUGUUACUUUUUAAAAGUAAAAUCUCUCUACUUUUAAAUAGAUCUUUCUGGAAAGACUUUUCAGAGGUAAAAGGAAGGACUCCCUUAAGAGGAAGAUCAGAGAGUUCUGACGAAAACAAAAAUGGGAGUUGACGAUCACUUAUUUGUCCCAUGCCUCAAAGGGAAAUAAAUCCAUUGAAUACAGUCAGUAUAAAUAAAACUGCCAUUGUUGCAUUCAGUCCACAAAUGAUACAUUUUUCUUGACCAAUUUUCAGUGUCUUUUCUUGUACACUGAAAUAAAUGUGCUGGAAUGACAUUGUUGGCAUUUGUCUGUCUCGAAAGGCAACGGAGUGUGCCUCCAGGGCUGAAGUCCAACUGCUGAGUUAGCAGCACCAAAUUGACCCCCCUGGGAUGCAAGCCUGGGUAGUGUGUAUGGAGGUCCUGGGCUGCCCAGAUGACAAGACCACCCCCCUCUUGGCCUUGCUGAUGCAGCCCAAAGCAAAGUAGAGUAAUAUGCUUGGCACCAGCUUGGCUGCAGGAGUUGCCGGAAGAAGGUAUACAAGGCACCAUUCAACUGUCCUAGGGACUCCACUCUGGAUUUGUCUAAGGUUCACUCCUUAGCUUUUUCUUCUCCAGAAGAUGUUCUGCAAGGCACUGGAGGUUUGGGACCAAAGUUUUCCUUCUCCUAGAUGGGCCACUUUCCCAGGUUGAUGAGCCCAUCUGCCCCUCACUUUCCUCUACAGCACAUGCAGUUGGACCCACUAUUGGUCAUGUCUGCUCAAUCGCCGGAGUCUGACUUUGCGUGCAGGGGAAAUCUCUACCUCCCCGAGGGCUGACACCCAUUGGCUACCCUCACCUGGUUCAGCCAGCCAGCCAGAAAACCAUUCCUAGGGUGUGGCCACUGUCAUAUUCUGACAGAUUUGAGGAGGCACAGGUGAGGGAAUAAUAUAUUGGCAACGUAAUUACUUAAGUCAAUUACAUUCCCACCACUCCUCUGCAUCCAGCCAGUCCAUGACAGCCUUCCAUCAGAGGACUGGGGAAUGUAGAAUGGGGAAGAAAAGUUUCCACACCACCCUCGGCCAUCUCACAAAAAUAAGACAAGCUCAAUCAUCAUUUCCCCCCAACUCUAAAGAAAUUGUUAAGGGCCCUGAGAAGGAGAAAGAAAAAUUGAGGCCUUUUUAUAGGGUAAGUUUUCAAGAAAUUGUAGUGCAGCUAUCAGCACAGAACUAGAAAUAACUAGAAAUAGGCAACUAUUUCUAGAACUUUCAUUAAAAUAGAUGAGUAUUUCAUUACCAGCUUUACUGGAGCAUAGGCAUCUGCUCACAUAAUUUUGUCAGGAACUGUUCAUGUCCACACUUGGGGGGGGGGGGGAGGUCUUAUGCAAUCCAUUUGCUUCCAAUUCUGAUGCUGCCCCUAGACAGCCAUUAUCCUUUGUGCCCAUCACAACCACCAGGUACCAUAACAAAGAUUUCAUAUUCUUAAAAGCAAAUUAAAAGUCCUGGGAGCUGAACAGCUGUCUGUUUCUGAUUAGAGUAUAGCUUCAGGGGAUUUAUAGUGGGCAAACAGACAAGAGGGAGAGUUAAAGUCUUUCCCCACAGCACUACAGCCCUGAUCUGAUUCCCCUCCCCACAGGGCUGCUAUUAUUAUUUUUCGAAAUGUGAGUGAUCUUGAUUGUGCAUCUUUAGCUUUGCUUCUCCUUUUGUCCUUAAUAAGCUACUCAUUCAAACCAUUUUUUUGCCCAGCUGCAGGCCUACAUGACAGAAAGAGUUGACUUCCAAUCUUGGCAAGAGGUUUCUUCCUCGUAGCAGAUGGCUUAGGUGAUCAAAGUAGAUUCUCUUAAGGCACUGAUAUGUCUGCUCUCAAUACCUGCCAGGACUGCCGGAUCAAAACUGUUUUAACUGGCAACCUGUACUUGUGUCACUACUACAUUCAUGCAUACCACAUGUAGAGUGUUUGCUUCUAACUCUACAGGACAGUUAGCGGGGGAAAAGUAAAAAGAAAAAAACAAAAAAAAACACACCAGCACACAUAGAAAAUGCUGUGUGAAGUUUGAAGGGGAAGAAGCAGUCUUCCUGCUGGGAGAUGGCUGAGAGCGCUGUCAGCCUGUGGCAAGGUUUCUGUUUCUGUGUCUGUCAAAAAGACUUCUGAGAGUGAAAAGUAAUGACAUAAGAUUUCUUCAGUGUUUAUUCGUUCUGUUAGGGUAGUUUUCUGUGAAAUUAAAUUAGUAAAACUUAAUUCAUGAUUCUCUGUGAACACCUACAAAAUGGAUCAGGAUUUGCUAAGUGGUUCCUCCCUCUGGUUCAUGGGAGCACUCAUCCUGCACAAAAAGUUGGGGGGAUACCAUGACCUUCAGUGAGGUGUUGGAUAGCUUUAUCUGUCUAAGCAAUCCUGUCCAUAAUCAGGCAGGUUCCUUGUCAUAUACUGUCCAGGCAUCUCCUGAUAUGAUGUGGGGCCACUGCAUUGAUCAGCUGCAAACUCAGAGUUGACACUAAGAAAGGCUGCUGAAAUAACAUCCAGAACAGUCUGUGUUAUCUCCAUCGAGAAGCUGACACCACCAUGGACCACAAAGUGGUUUUGUUGAACACCCAGUUUCCUCUAAUGUGCCACAGCUAGAGGACUGCGCAGACCCUGGCAGACUACAAAGCAGUGUGCAGGAAGAUAAGCAGCACUAUCCAGAACAAAAAUGCAUGCAAGCUGGGAGACUUGAUUUGUGCUCCUGCACCUCUGUGGUUAUUCAUCAAUACUUUCAGAUACAAUUUUGUUUCUAGUGUUUAAUCUUGAAGGAAGGGUAAUCUAAGCGAAUCUGCACUUAAUAUCUGGUUGUGUUGAACCUACUGUUCUAUUGUUAUCUUCUAGUUUUAAAUGAAUGAAAAUCCUCAGUUGUGAACCCAGCUC